rnacentral:rRNA from 1 species
UACGUAGGGUGCAAGCGUUAAUCGGAAUUACUGGGCGUAAAGCGUGCGCAGGCGGUUUUUCAAGACAGAUGUGAAAUCCCCGGGCUCAACCUGGGAAUUGCGUUGGAGACUGCAAGGCUAGAAUCUGGCAGAGGGGGGUAGAAUUCCACGUGUAGCAGUGAAAUGCGUAGAGAUGUGGAGGAACACCGAUGGCGAAGGCAGCACCCUGGGUCAAGAUUGACGCUCAUGCACGAAAGCGUGGGGAGCAAACAGG